CGUAUUUUUGGUCCUUUAUUUGUCCACAUUUGAGCAGCCCGUUAUGUUACGCACCGUUUUGAUUUUUCUUUUACCAACACGGUUUGUAACGCACCGUUUUGAUGUUAGGGUUGAGCUCAUCUUCUCUUCCGGCCAUUCGAGAUCGACGCACUACCUGACUUUUGAAAGCGUUGAUUCGUCUUCUUCCGAACAAUCAGAAGAGUUACAGAUUAACCUCUUUAAAGUCCUUCUUAAAUCCAUCACCCACGACCCGUCUUCAAUGCGAUCUUCACACAUGCAAGAGGUGGAGCUGCGCCUAUAACAGCACAGGAUAAUUCUCCUCCACCGUUUAAGUGUGUUUGCUCUAUUUUUAAGAGGCCAGUACUGUCAGACGCGGUGGUGAACUCAUGGAGUGGAUAUGCUGCUACUGGAUUCACAGGUUUAACAUCAGCGAAAGUUCUGGAAAUCUCAGAUAUAUGAAUCGUCGGCAGUAAUCGCUAUUUUGACCCACUGAAUCACGAUCGCUCAUUCAAUGACUCUUAUUCUCAUCCAAGCAGUGAAUCUCCAUUUAUAAAAAAGCCGCAGCUUCGGCCAUUAAUGGUGGCGAAAGGAAAUCUUGGUGGUGGAGGAGGGAGGUCAUCGCUUGGCGGUUGUGGUGGUGGACUGGUUUGGUUUGUGUAACGGGCGCCUGCACCUCCUGUCAAGUUCUCCAACGACACCAAGGGGCUAUAAACCGCAUAAUCUGUUGGUGCUAUGUCGAACGUGUCAUUGAACUCUAAAUUGAGAUAAAGCAAGCCUUUACACCAGAACAAGUUAACUAUGCCAAAGUGUGCUAAGAUAUGAUGAGGAGGUUCUUUUAUCUUUUUGAACAACAAUCAUGCUGCUGUUACAGGCCUCAAUGGUUGUUUGCUCAACAAAAUGAAUGCCAAGGUGGAAAAUCAUCUCUUAUUACUUGAUUCGUGCUCAUGUUUAUAUGUUUGCAGAGUUUGACAAAGAAACCGGUGCUGUUCAAUGCUUCCUCAGUAAGUAAGAUGCCCAAAUAAUUGUCUGUUAGUUACGAUCAUGAAAAGCAACAAAAUCGUGAUCUUUGAUUUUCAAUGGUGCAUGUAUAAUAGUGUUUAACUUCAGAAAGAUUAUACAGAGACUGUCUCAGUUUAUGGUUA